rnacentral:lncRNA from 1 species
AUUUACACUUUUCACAAGCGUUUGUAGUUGUAAUCGAAUUCGCAUCCAAUGCGCAAUGUAUUGUGGGCAAUAUCAGCGGUUAGAGGCUUGUAGAGCGUCUACACUUAAGUUAUUUACCGGAAAUAGCAAGCCAUCCGGGACCCUCUGGCAAACUCUUUUCGACAUAUUAAGGUUAGGGACAUACAAAGGGCCUACUUACACUAUGCUAUCCGUACUUGUUGGCCGUCGGGGCAACUGUAGUGUGAGUACGCCCUAAUUCUUUUUUCAUAUACUAUUUAGGACGGAUAGUAUGCCGAUUGAGAC